GGCUCCAUAGCUCAGUGAUUAGAGCAUUGGCCUUUUAAAUCAGAGCUCGUGAGUUCAAUUCUUAUUGGAGGCU
rnacentral:tRNA from 1 species